AGUACGGCGGAACACGAGAAAUUCCGUCGGAAUCCGCGGGGACCAUCCCGCAAGGCUAAAUACUCCCUAGUGACCGAUAGUGAACCAGUACCGUGAGGGAAAGGUGAAAAGCACCCCGGAAGGGGAGUGAAAUAGAUCCUGAAACCGUGUGCCUACAACAAGUCAAAGCUCGUUAAUGAGUGAUGGCGUGCCUUUUGUAGAAUGAACCGGCGAGUUACGAUUGCAUGCGAGGUUAAGUCGAAGAGACGGAGCCGCAGCGAAAGCGAGUCUGAAUAGGGCGAAUGAGUAUGUAGUCGUAGACCCGAAACCAUGUGAUCUACCCAUGUCCAGGUUGAAGGUGCGGUAAAACGCACUGGAGGACCGAACCCACGUACGUUGAAAAGUGCGGGGAUGAGGUGUGGGUAGCGGAGAAAUUCCAAACGAACUUGGAGAUAGCUGGUUCUCUCCGAAAUAGCUUUAGGGCUAGCCUCGGAAUUGAGAAUGAUGGAGGUAGAGCACUGUUUGGACUAGGGGCCCAUCUCGGGUUACCGAAUUCAGAUAAACUCCGAAUGCCAUUCAUUUAUAUCCGGGAGUCAGACUGCGAGUGAUAAGAUCCGUAGUCGAAAGGGAAACAGCCCAGACCACCAGCUAAGGUCCCAAAAUAUAUGUUAAGUGGAAAAGGAUGUGGGGUUGCACAGACAACUAGGAUGUUGGCUUAGAAGCAGCCACCAUUUAAAGAGUGCGUAAUAGCUCACUAGUCGAGUGACCCUGCGCCGAAAAUGUACCGGGGCUAAACAUAUUACCGAAGCUGUGGACUACACCAUUAGGUGUAGUGGUAGGAGAGCGUUCUAAGGGCGUUGAAGGUCGAUCGUGAGGACGGCUGGAGCGCUUAGAAGUGAGAAUGCCGGUAUGAGUAGCGAAAGACAGGUGAGAAUCCUGUCCACCGUAUGACUAAGGUUUCCUGGGGAAGGCUCGUCCGCCCAGGGUUAGUCGGGACCUAAGCCGAGGCCGAUAGGCGUAGGCGAUGGACAACAGGUUGAUAUUCCUGUACCAGUUGUUUUUGUUUGAGCAAUGGAGGGACGCAGUAGGCUAAGGAAUGCAUGCGAUUGGAAGUGCAUGUCCAAGCAAUGAGUCUUGAGUAGAGUUAAAUGCUUUACUCUUUAAGGACAAGUUGUGACGGGGAGCGAAAUAAUAGUAGCGAAGUUCCUGAUGUCACACUGCCAAGAAAAGCUUCUAGUGAGAAAACAAC
rnacentral:rRNA from 1 species